UGGGGAAUAUUGGACAAUGGGGGCAACCCUGAUCCAGCAAUGCCGCGUGUGUGAAGAAGGCCUGAGGGUUGUAAAGCACUUUCAGUGGGGAGGAGGAUUGUUAGGUUAAGAGCUAGAUAAUUGGACGUUACCCACAGAAGAAGCACCGGCUAACUCCGUGCCAGCAGCCGCGGUAAUACGGAGGGUGCAAGCGUUAAUCGGAAUUACUGGGCGUAAAGCGUGCGUAGGUGGUUUGGUAAGUUAUCUGUGAAAUCCCUGGGCUCAACCUGGGCAGGUCAGAUAAUACUGCUGAACUCGAGUAUGGGAGAGGGUAGUGGAAUUUCCGGUGUAGCGGUGAAAUGCGUAGAGAUCGGAAGGAACACCAGUGGCGAAGGCGGCUACCUGGCCUAAUACUGACACUGAGGCACGAAAGCGUGGGGAGCAAACAGG
rnacentral:rRNA from 1 species